GUCUACAGCCAUACCACCCUGAACGCGCCCGAUCUCGUCUGAUCUCGGAAGCUAAGCAGGGUCGGGCCUGGUUAGUACUUGGAUGGGAGAACCUCUUUGCCAGCAACUUUGGGCU
rnacentral:rRNA from 1 species